rnacentral:rRNA from 1 species
CGGUCUGGCUCAGAUUGAACGCUGGCGAUCUUUACAUACCGUCGAACGGCAGCACGGACUUCGGUCUGGUGGCGAUGGCGAACGAGUGGUAAUGUAUCGGAACGUGCCUAGUAGCGGGGGAUAACUACACUGGCGCUAUCCACGCUACGCCCUUCGGGGAAAGCGAGGACCUUCGGGCCUCGCACUAUUAGAGCGGCCGAUAUCGGAUUGCUGAUUCUGGUGGGUAACGGCUCACCAAGGCGACUAGCGAUCCGUAGCUGGUUUGAAGGACAGCCAGCCACACUGGGACUGAGACACGGCCCAGACUCCUACGGGAGGCAGCAGUUAAGGAAUUUUGGACAAUGGGAAACCUGAUCCAGCCAUCCCGCGUGUGCGAUGAAGGCCUUCUGGUUUAUGGCCUUUGGCAGGGAAAGGAAAGCAGCUGCGGAUAUGCCCCGAUGCAACUGACAGUACCUGCAGAAUAAGCGCAACCUAACUACGUGCCAGCAGCCGCGGUAAUACGUAGGGUGCAAGCGUUAAUCGAAUUACUGGGCGUAAAGCUGCGACGGUUCGAGAAAAAGAUGUAAAUCCCAGAGCUUAACUUUGGGGCCUACAUUUACCACUCUCCGCUGACAAGAAGAAUUAUAGAGGGAGGUGAAUUCCGCGUGUAGCGGUAAUCGUAGAUGUCGGAGGGAACACCGAUGGCGAAGGCAGCCUCUCGGAGAUAACACUGACGCUCAUGCACAGCUUAGCGGAGGCAGGCAGAGUUAGAUACCCUGGUGAUCCACGCCCUAAACGAUGUCAACUAGCUGUUGGGGCCUUCGGGCCUUGGUGGCCGCAGCUAACGCGUGAAGUUGACCGCCUGGGAAAUUACGGUCGCAAGAUUAAAACUCAAAGGAAUUGACGGGGACCCGCACAAGCGGUGGGUAGUCAUGGAUUAAUUCGAUGCAACGCGAAAAAUAUACCUACAUGACGCUAUCUGAAUCCGAAGAGAUUUGGGAGUGCUCGCAAAGAGAACUGGAACACAGGUGCUGCAUGGCUGUCGUCAGCUCGUGUCGUGAGAUGUUGGGUUGGUCUACGCAACAUUUGCAACCGCCAUAUUGGUCCCAACACACGAAGGGCACUCUAAUGGGGCCUACCGAAGUGGCAAGCCGGAGGAGAAGUGUGGGGAUGACGUCGAAGUCCUCAUGGCCAUAUGGGUAGGGCUUCACACGUCAUACAAUGAGGUCGGGACAGAGGUCGCCAACCCGCGAGAGGCCAAUCCCAGGAAACCCGAUCGUCGUGGAUCGCAGUCUGCAAAAACCGACUGCGCGUGAAGUCAGGAAUCGCUGGUAAUCGCGGAUCAACGGCAUGUCGCGGUGAAGGCCGUUAGGUCCUGUACACACCGCCCGUCCUGGGAGUGGGUUUUACCAGAAGUAGUUAGCCUAACCGUAAGGAGGGCGAUUACCACGAUUCGGCUGGGGUGAAGUCGUAACAAGGUAA